UACGAAGGGGGCUAGCGUUGCUCGGAAUUACUGGGCGUAAAGGGCGCGUAGGCGGAUGUUUAAGUCAGAGGUGAAAGCCCAGGGCUCAACCUUGGAACUGCCUUUGAUACUGGGCAUCUUGAGUACGGGAGAGGUGAGUGGAACUCCGAGUGUAGAGGUGAAAUUCGUAGAUAUUCGCAAGAACACCAGUGGCGAAGGCGGCUCACUGGCCCGAUACUGACGCUGAGGCACGAAAGCUAGGGGAGCAAACAGG
rnacentral:rRNA from 1 species